GUGCAGUAUGUAGGGGGCCUGGGGAGCUCACAGGGAUCCCCAGUGUGUAUGGGGGUGAAUCUCACAGGAUCCUUAGUGGGGGUUCUGGGGGUGCUCACAUUACCUUACCCACUUUGUCUUUUUAAUAUCCUUGGACCAACAGGGCUACAACACCACAAACAACUUGUAGAUAGAACACUUUUCCUAAUAUCUACCUUAAAUCUGCCUUGCUGCAUAUUAAGCCCAUUGCUGCUUGACCUACCUCCAGCAGACAUGGCAAUUAAUCACCAACCUCCUUAUAACCACCCUAAGCCGGUAUCAUGUCCUCCCUCGUUCUUCUUUUCUCAAAACUAAACAUGCCCAGUUUUUUUCCUCUACCUUUUUUCCUCAUAGAUCAGGUUUUCUAAAUCUUUUAUCAUUUUUGUUCCUCUCCCCUGGACUCUCUCCAACUUGUCCCCAUCUUUCCUAAAGUGCAACCCAGAACUGGACACAGUACUCCAGCUGAGACCUCACCACUGCCAAGUAGGGCAGGACAAUUACCUACUGUGUCUUACGUAUGACAUGCCUUUGAAUACACUCUUUUGGAAUUAGCCUUUUUUGCAUCUGCCUCAUAUUGUUGACUCUAUUUCAGUUUGUACUGCACUAGAAUCCCCAGAUCCUUUUCAGUAAUUUCAUUUAGACCACGUACCUAGGAAGGUUUCUUCAUAAGAAGGGGGUUCUCUUUCUUCCCCCCCGAGGACCAGUUGAGAGAAGAAUCAAAGUGGGAAUUGAGGGCACUCCAUACUUAGCAGGACUGGACCCUUACAGAGAAAGUUACAGGUGCAAAUACUGCAUCAGACCGGUGGUCCAUCUAGCCCAGUCCUGUCCAAAAGUACUUCUUUGAUUCUGCGUGUAUUUUCUGUACUGCUUUAUAGAAAGGCUGAAAGAAACAUUUAGAGCUGCACUAGUGGUGCUCAUGCACUCACAAUAGGACCAUUUUUGCAAGCACCCACUACUCUGAAGCAAAUAAGCAAGACAAAGUCACCCCUUGCUCUCUUCAGUCAAACAUCAACUUCUGGAAGAAGCCACACCCAGAUGCUUUGAUUCCUAUGUUGUAGGAUCACUCACACUCUGGCUCAAAAAGUACAUCAUUGUACACAAGUUCCCAGAAGCAUCCUUGGAACGCAGCCAAGGAAACAGACCUUGAAACUCCAUAUGGAAUGUCUGCAUCUCGAACUGGACGCUGGAACCACAGGGCAAAUGGAUGGGAC